CAGUAGCCGCGGUAAUACGGAGGGUGCAAGCGUUAAUCGGAAUUACUGGGCGUAAAGCGUGCGUAGGCGGUUCGUUAAGUCUGUUGUGAAAGCCCCGGGCUCAACCUGGGAAUGGCAAUGGAUACUGGCGAGCUAGAGUGUGUCAGAGGAUGGUGGAAUUCCCGGUGUAGCGGUGAAAUGCGUAGAGAUCGGGAGGAACAUCAGUGGCGAAGGCGGCCAUCUGGGACAACACUGACGCUGAGGCACGAAAGCGUGGGGAGCAAACAGGAUUAGAUACCCCUGUAGUCCCUGUCUCUUAUAC
rnacentral:rRNA from 1 species